rnacentral:rRNA from 1 species
GACAGAGGGUGCAAACGUUGUUCGGAAUUACUGGGCGUAAAGCGCGUGUAGGCAGCUUGGCAAGUUGGAUGUGAAAGCCCUGGGCUCAACCUAGGAAGUGCAUUCGAAACUGCCGAGCUAGAGUUCGGGAGAGGAUGGUGGAAUUCCCAGUGUAGAGGUGAAAUUCGUAGAUAUUGGGAAGAACACCGAUGGCGAAGGCAGCCAUCUGGACCGACACUGACGCUGAGGCGCGAAAGCGUGGGGAGCAAACAGG